AUCCAUCUGACGAGUCCUAAAUAGGAGGAACUGGGCGUCCUGGAU
rnacentral:hammerhead_ribozyme from 1 species